ACACUCCUGCGGGAGGCAGCAGUGGGGAAUAUUGGACAAUGGGCGCAAGCCUGAUCCAGCCAUGCCGCGUGAGUGAUGAAGGCCCUAGGGUUGUAAAGCUCUUUCACCGGAGAAGAUAAUGACGGUAUCCGGAGAAGAAGCCCCGGCUAACUUCGUGCCAGCAGCCGCGGUAAUACGAAGGGGGCUAGCGUUGUUCGGAAUUACUGGGCGUAAAGCGCACGUAGGCGGAUCGAUCAGUCAGGGGUGAAAUCCCAGGGCUCAACCCUGGAACUGCCUUUGAUACUGUCGAUCUGGAGUAUGGAAGAGGUGAGUGGAAUUCCGAGUGUAGAGGUGAAAUUCGUAGAUAUUCGGAGGAACACCAGUGGCGAAGGCGGCUCACUGGUCCAUUACUGACGCUGAGGUGCGAAAGCGUGGGGAGCAAACAGGAUUAGAUACCCGAGUAGUCCCAU
rnacentral:rRNA from 1 species